rnacentral:rRNA from 1 species
UACGUAGGCAGCAAACGUUGUUCGGAAUUACUGGGCGUAAAGAGUGUGUAGGCGGUUCUGUAAGUUUGGUGUGAAAUCUCCCGGCUUAACUGGGAGGGUGCGCCGAAAACUGCAAGGCUUGAGUGCUGGAGAGGAUAGCGGAAUUCCUGGUGUAGCGGUGAAAUGCGUAGAUAUCAGGAGGAACACCGGCGGUGUAGACGGCUAUCUGGACAGCAACUGACGCUGAGACACGAAAGCGUGGGGAGCAAACAGG